rnacentral:rRNA from 1 species
UACGUAGGGGGCUAGCGUUGUCCGGAAUCAUUGGGCGUAAAGCGCGCGUAGGCGGCCAGAUAAGUCCGGUGUGAAAGUCACAGGCUCAACCUGUGAAUGCCGCUGGAAAACUGCCUGGCUUGAGUCCGGAAGGGGCGAGUGGAAUUCCUGGUGUAGCGGUGAAAUGCGCAGAUAUCAGGAGGAACACCAAUGGCGAAGGCAGCUCGCUGGAACGGUACUGACGCUGAGGCGCGAAAGCGUGGGGAGCGAACAGG